ACUUGCUAGUAGUAUUUCCACUCUCGUUUCAGCCCAUGAUGUUUAGCGCAUCAAACGUGACACCAUUGAAGCAGGAGCCAAGAUGCUGAUUGACUAUUCUUAACUACUUAGUCUCAAUCGAAAUCAGGUUUUCAAGCUUUUAUUACGUCUUAACGUUAUUCUUCAGAAAUGUCGUCUUUUUGGAAGGAUGAGCAGUAGAUGGCAAUAAUGUUCAUAUCAUUUAUUAGUUGGAAGAAAAAAAAAAUCAAAAAUCAAAAAAAGAAAACGAUGAACCAGAUAAUGCACUGAUAUCUAACGUUAGCUGUCCGCCUUUUUUUUUUAAUGAUUAUUAUGUAAAUUUUCGGAACAUAAACUAGUGUUGGAGGUUAGUUUGGUGCAUAAUUCAUACCUAUUUAUUUAUUUAUUU